rnacentral:rRNA from 1 species
GACGAACGCUGGCGGCGUGCUUAACACAUGCAAGUCGUACGGUAAGGCCCUUUCGGGGGUCCACGAGUGGCGCACGGGUGAGUAACACGUGAGUAACCUGCCCACAACUUUGGGAUAACGCUAGGAAACUGGUGCUAAUACUGGAUAUGUGCUCCUGCUGCAUGGUGGGGGUUGGAAAGCUCCGGCGGUUGUGGAUGGACUCGCGGCCUAUCGGCUUGUUGGUGGGGUAGUGGCCUACCAAGGCGGCGACGGGUAGCCGGCCUGAGAGGGUGACCGGCCACAUUGGGACUGAGAUACGUCCCAGACUCCUACGGGAGGCAGCAGUGGGGAAUCUUGCACAAUGGGCGCAAGCCUGAUGCAGCAACGCCGCGUGCGGGAUGACGGCCUUCGGGUUGUAAACCGCUUUCAGCAGGGACGAAGCUUUUUGUGACGGUACCUGCAGAAGAAGCACCGGCUAACUACGUG